CUGAGUGCAGUGAAAUUCCGGGAGGGAGGGGGGAGGAGGAGGUGGCGAGUGAGCGGCAGACACGGAGCGACGGGCUUAAGCCCCAGUUAGGGACCCUGUGUGCUACGGCGGCGCCCGACGCGGAGCCAGACCCCGGGGGGGCCAGGAGCGGGCGGCGUGAGGGGGACUCGCCGCCGCCGGCCAGUUCGUUCGCCGCAGCAGCAGCGUCGCCGCCGCCGCCGCUCGGACUCCCUCCUCGGGCAGAGAGGGGGAGAAUGACGGAGCUCCAGUCCGCCUUGCUACUGCGGAGGCAACUAGCAGAGCUCAACAAAAAUCCAGUGGAAGGUUUUUCAGCAGGUUUAAUAGACGACAAUGAUCUUUACAGAUGGGAAGUCCUCAUUAUUGGUCCUCCAGAUACAUUGUAUGAAGGUGGCGUCUUCAAGGCUCAUCUCACUUUUCCAAAAGACUAUCCUCUCAGGCCGCCGAAAAUGAAGUUCAUCACAGAAAUCUGGCAUCCAAAUGUUGACAAGAACGGUGAUGUCUGCAUUUCCAUUCUUCAUGAGCCUGGAGAAGACAAAUAUGGCUAUGAAAAACCUGAGGAACGCUGGCUUCCCAUCCACACAGUCGAAACUAUAAUGAUUAGUGUCAUUUCUAUGCUGGCAGAUCCCAAUGGUGACUCGCCUGCUAAUGUCGAUGCAGCGAAUGGAGAGAAGACAGAAAUGGAGAAUUCAAAAGGAAAGUUGCCCGCUGUGUAAGAAAAAGCCAAGAGACUGCUUUUGAGUGACACUUAUUCAGCAGCUAGUAGCUUCACUUUUUUUCAGGGUCUCCAAUUGAGAAACAUGGCACUGUUUUUUCCUGCACUCUACCCACCUAUUGCUGGACUUCUGUUGUACAUGUUGGCAAACACUGGCUGGAACUGGGCUGCAAUAAAACAUGCCAGUUAUCAAUGCUGACAAGAGCCUAACAAGUGCCAACAUAAAAAGAUGAUUACGCAUUUUGAAAUCUAAUGAACUGCUUUAACCUUCAGGAAGAAUUGUAAAGAUGUGUACAUAGCACAACAUGAUCCGGAUAAUAUAUAUACUGUUCAUGUACAUCCACAAUUACACAUUGUACCAAAUAAUGCUGUCUUGUAGUUAGGAUAAGAAUCGUGUACAUUCUAAAAGAUUUUAGCAAAUUUUCUUUCCCUGUUCAUUGUUUUUUCUUAUCAGUUUUUUAAAAAAAAAAAACCUCUUGAAGCAUGUCAAACUAAAACCAAUUAGGAUUAAAGAUUUUUUCCAUUUUAUUUCUUUGAACAAUUGAGGCAUAAUUAAAUAUUUUCACUUAUUAAAGUUUAGUAUCUAUUUGGAAAAAACACUCCCUUCUUACCCCUGCAUCUCCUCAAAGGUUCAGAUUUUUCCUAAACAAACACUGAAAGGAUCUAUAAGCAACUAUCUGAUUCUAAUGACCUUUGACAAUGCAAAGGUCACUUUCUUUCCCCCCCUCUUUUUGACUCAGUUGCACACAGUUCUUGGAUUGGGUGUAGCAAUAAAACUUGGCUGUGGAGCACCCUUGAGCCUGCUAUUUUUUUUUUCAAAGGGCUGAGAGCUUUGGUUUGGAAGUGAUCAGUUGACUAAGCUCAAGAUAGGAUAAGCUGCUUUCUCUGGUUUUUGCCUCUUGCCUUUGUUUUUAAGUUUUGGAUUUAAAAGGUAUGCACAUCUGUAAGCUUUCAAAUUAGUAAAUUCUGGGUCUGGUAUUGGAAAUACCAUUUCCCUUCUUAUCCCUAUUCUCUCUUCUGUGGUCCUUCAUAUUUUUUGCCUUCUAUUCUUCUACUGCAGAUUUUCCUCACCUAAUGUACAAAGAGAAUUGCGAUGUAUAUUUUCAUGUAAUUUGAUUUUGGAAUUCUGUCACCUUCUGUAGUGAGUUCUUCCAAAAUAUAAUUUUUUCCAAUAA